GGGUUGUGAGGUUAAGUGACUAAGCGUACACGGUGGAUGCCUAGGCAGUCAGAGGCGAUGAAGGGCGUGCUAAUCUGCGAAAAGCGUCGGUAAGGUGAUAUGAACCGUUACAACCGGCGAUACCCGAAUGGGGAAACCCAGUGUGUUUCGACACACUAUCAUGUCAUGAAUACAUAGUGGCAUGAGGCGAACCGGGGGAACUGAAACAUCUAAGUACCCCGAGGAAAAGAAAUCAACCGAGAUUCCCCCAGUAGCGGCGAGCGAACGGGGAGGAGCCCAGAACCUGAAUCGGCUUGUGUGUUAGUGGAAGCGUCUGGAAAGUCGCGCAGUAAAGGGUGAUAGCCCCGUACACUAAAAUGCACAGGUCGUGAGUUCGAUGAGUAGGGCGGGACACGUGACAUCCUGUCUGAAUAUGGGGGGACCAUCCUCCAAGGCUAAAUACUCCUGACUGACCGAUAGUGAACCAGUACCGUGAGGGAAAGGCGAAAAGAACCCCGGCGAGGGGAGUGAAAUAGAACCUGAAACCGUGUACGUACAAGCAGUGGGAGCACCUUCGUGGUGUGACUGCGUACCUUUUGUAUAAUGGGUCAGCGACUUAUAUUUUGUAGCAAGGUUAACCGUAUAGGGGAGCCGUAGGGAAACCGAGUCUUAACUGGGCGAAUAGUUGCAAGGUAUAGACCCGAAACCCGGUGAUCUAGCCAUGGGCAGGUUGAAGGUUGGGUAACACUAACUGGAGGACCGAACCGACUAAUGUUGAAAAAUUAGCGGAUGACUUGUGGCUGGGGGUGAAAGGCCAAUCAAACCGGGAGAUAGCUGGUUCUCCCCGAAAGCUAUUUAGGUAGCGCCUCGUGAACUCAUCUUCGGGGGUAGAGCACUGUUUCGGCUAGGGGGCCAUCCCGGCUUACCAAACCGAUGCAAACUCCGAAUACCGAAGAAUGUUAUCACGGGAGACACACGGCGGGUGCUAACGUCCGUCGUGAAGAGGGAAACAACCCAGACCGCCAGCUAAGGUCCCAAAGUCAUGGUUAAGUGGGAAACGAUGUGGGAAGGCAUAGACAGCCAGGAUGUUGGCUUAGAAGCAGCCAUCAUUUAAAGAAAGCGUAAUAGCUCACUGGUCGAGUCGGCCUGCGCGGAAGAUGUAACGGGGCUAAACCAUGCACCGAAGCUGCGGCAGCGACGCUUAGGCGUUGUUGGGUAGGGGAGCGUUCUGUAAGCCGUUGAAGGUGGCCUGUGAGGGUUGCUGGAGGUAUCAGAAGUGCGAAUGCUGACAUAAGUAACGAUAAAGCGGGUGAAAAGCCCGCUCGCCGGAAGACCAAGGGUUCCUGUCCAACGUUAAUCGGGGCAGGGUGAGUCGACCCCUAAGGCGAGGCUGAAAAGCGUAGUCGAUGGGAAACAGGUUAAUAUUCCUGUACUUGGUGUUACUGCGAAGGGGGGACGGAGAAGGCUAGGCUAGCCGGGCGACGGUUGUCCCGGUUUAAGCGUGUAGGGGGUGUGACCUGGUAAAUCCGGUUGCAUAUCAACCCUGAGGCGUGAUGACGAUGCACUACGGUGCAGAAGUAGUUGAUGCCCUGCUUCCAGGAAAAGCCUCUAAGCUCUAGGUAACAUUAAAUCGUACCCCAAACCGACACAGGUGGUCAGGUAGAGAAUACCAAGGCGCUUGAGAGAACUCGGGUGAAGGAACUAGGCAAAAUGGUGCCGUAACUUCGGGAGAAGGCACGCUGGCAUGUAGGUGAAGUCCCUUGCGGAUGGAGCUGAAGCCAGUCGAAGAUACCAGCUGGCUGCAACUGUUUAAUAAAAACACAGCACUGUGCAAACACGAAAGUGGACGUAUACGGUGUGACGCCUGCCCGGUGCUGGAAGGUUAAUUGAUGGGGUCAGCCGCAAGGCGAAGCUCUUGAUCGAAGCCCCAGUAAACGGCGGCCGUAACUAUAACGGUCCUAAGGUAGCGAAAUUCCUUGUCGGGUAAGUUCCGACCUGCACGAAUGGCGUAAUGAUGGCCAGGCUGUCUCCACCCGAGACUCAGUGAAAUUGAACUCGCUGUGAAGAUGCAGUGUACCCGCGGCAAGACGGAAAGACCCCGUGAACCUUUACUAUAGCUUGACACUGAACAUUGAGCCUUGAUGUGUAGGAUAGGUGGGAGGCUUUGAAGCGUGGACGCCAGUCUGCGUGGAGCCAUCCUUGAAAUACCACCCUUUAAUGUUUGAUGUUCUAACUCGGCCCCAUAAUCUGGGGUGAGGACAGUGUCUGGUGGGUAGUUUGACUGGGGCGGUCUCCUCCCAAAGAGUAACGGAGGAGCACGAAGGUUAGCUAAUCACGGUCGGACAUCGUGAGGUUAGUGCAAAGGCAUAAGCUAGCUUGACUGCGAGAGUGACGGCUCGAGCAGGUACGAAAGUAGGUCUUAGUGAUCCGGUGGUUCUGAAUGGAAGGGCCAUCGCUCAACGGAUAAAAGGUACUCCGGGGAUAACAGGCUGAUACCGCCCAAGAGUUCAUAUCGACGGCGGUGUUUGGCACCUCGAUGUCGGCUCAUCACAUCCUGGGGCUGAAGUAGGUCCCAAGGGUAUGGCUGUUCGCCAUUUAAAGUGGUACGCGAGCUGGGUUUAGAACGUCGUGAGACAGUUCGGUCCCUAUCUGCCGUGGGCGUUGGAAGAUUGAGAGGGGUUGCUCCUAGUACGAGAGGACCGGAGUGAACGCACCACUGGUGUUCGGGUUGUCAUGCCAAUGGCAUUGCCCGGUAGCUAAGUGCGGAAAAGAUAAGCGCUGAAAGCAUCUAAGCGCGAAACUUGCCUCAAGAUGAGUCUUCCCUGGGCCUUUAAGGCCCCUGAAGGAACGUUUAAGACUAAGACGUUGAUAGGCUGGGUGUGUAAGUGCAGCGAUGCAUUGAGCUAACCAGUACUAAUGAUCCGUGAGGCUUAACCUUACAACACCGAAGGUGUUU
rnacentral:rRNA from 1 species